AUUGAACGCUGGCGGCAGGCCUAACACAUGCAAGUCGAACGGUAACAGGAAGAAGCUUGCUUCUUUGCUGACGAGUGGCGGACGGGUGAGUAAUGUCUGGGAAACUGCCUGAUGGAGGGGGAUAACUACUGGAAACGGUAGCUAAUACCGCAUAACGUCGCAAGACCAAAGAGGGGGACCUUCGGGCCUCUUGCCAUCGGAUGUGCCCAGAUGGGAUUAGCUAGUAGGUGGGGUAACGGCUCACCUAGGCGACGAUCCCUAGCUGGUCUGAGAGGAUGACCAGCCACACUGGAACUGAGACACGGUCCAGACUCCUACGGGAGGCAGCAGUGGGGAAUAUUGCACAAUGGGCGAAAGCCUGAUGCAGCCAUGCCGCGUGUAUGAAGAAGGCCUUCGGGUUGUAAAGUACUUUCAGCGGGGAGGAAGGGAGGAAAGUUAAUACCUUUGCUCAUUGACGUUACCCGCAGAAGAAGCACCGGCUAACUCCGUG
rnacentral:rRNA from 1 species